rnacentral:tRNA from 1 species
GGGCCCCUCGCCCAGCUAGGAUAGGGCGCCAGCCUGCGGAGCUGGUGGUCGCGGGUUCAAAUCCCGCGGGGCCCG